AAGCUGGGACGUUUUGUCGCUCUUUUCUUCGGAAAGGAGAGGAAAGUCCGGACAGGGUAGGACACCCCGCUGUGGAAAGCACAGACAGGAGUAAUCUUGUGCGGGUCGUAACAGAAAACAACCGCCUUCGGGGUGGAGCCAAAUUCUCGGAGGUAAGGGUGAAAAUGUGAGGUAAGAGCUCACGGUCGGCGUCAGCGAUGGCGCCGGGGUACGAUGCCGGGGCCUGCAAGACCAAAUAUAUCGGUGAUAAGAGGGUGGUCCGCCCGAUGCCGAGGGGUAGGUUGCGUAGAUAAAUGACAAGAUUAAAAACAGAAACCGGCUUACAGUCCCAACUUUGUU
rnacentral:RNase_P_RNA from 1 species